GGGGAAUUUGGACAAUGGGCGCAAGCCUGAUCCAGCCAUUCCGCGUGCAGGAUGAAGGCCUUCGGGUUGUAAACUGCUUUUGUACGGAACGAAACGGCCUUUCUCUAAUACAGGAGGCUAAUGACGGUACCGUAAGAAUAAGCACCGGCAACUACGUGCCAGCAGCCGCGGUAAUACGUAGGGUGCGAGCGUUAAUCGGAAUUACUGGGCGUAAAGCGUGCGCAGGCGGUUGUGUAAGACAGGUGUGAAAUCCCCGGGCUUAACCUGGGAACUGCGCUUGUGACUGCACGACUGGAGUACGGCAGAGGGGGGUGGAAUUCCUGGUGUAGCAGUGAAAUGCGUAGAUAUGUGGAGGAACACCGAUGGCGAAGGCAGCCCCCUGGGCCGAUACUGACGCUCAUGCACGAAAGCGUGGGUAGCAAACAGGAUUAGAUACCCUGGUAGUCCACGCCCUAAACGAUGUCAACUAGGUGUUGGGUGGGUAAAACCAUUUAGUACCGGAGCUAACGCGUGAAGUUGACCGCCUGGGGAGUACGGCCGCAAGGUUAAAACUCAAAGGAAUUGACGGGGACCCGCACAAGCGGUGGAUGAUGUGGAUUAAUUCGAUGCAACGCGAAAAACCUUACCUACCCUUGACAUGUCCAGAAGCUCUUAGAGAUUUGAGUGUGCCCGAAAGGGAGCUGGAACACAGGUGCUGCAUGGCUGUCGUCAGCUCGUGUCGUGAGAUGUUGGGUUAAGUCCCGCAACGAGCGCAACCCUUGUCGUUAAUUGCCAUCAUUUAGUUGGGCACUUUAACGAGACUGCCGGUGACAAACCGGAGGAAGGUGGGGAUGACGUCAAGUCCUCAUGGCCCUUAUGGGUAGGGCUUCACACGUCAUACAAUGGUCGGUACAGAGGGUUGCCAAGCCGCGAGGUGGAGCCAAUCCCAGAAAGCCGAUCGUAGUCCGGAUUGCAGGCUGCAACUCGCCUGCAUGAAGUCGGAAUCGCUAGUAAUCGCGGAUCAGAAUGUCGCGGUGAAUACGUUCCCGGGUCUUGUACACACCGCCCGUCACACCAUGGGAGCGGGUUCUGCCAGAAGUAGGUAGCCUAACCGUAAGGAGGGCGCUUACCACGGCAGGGUUCGUGACUGGGGUGAAGUCGUAACAAGGU
rnacentral:rRNA from 1 species